GAUGAACGCUAGCGGGAGGCCUAACACAUGCAAGCCGAGCGGUAUUUGUUCUUCGGAACAGAGAGAGCGGCGCACGGGUGCGGAACACGUGUGCAACCUGCCUUUAUCUGGGGGAUAGCCUUUCGAAAGGAAGAUUAAUACCCCAUAAUAUAUUGAGUGGCAUCAUUUGAUAUUGAAAACUCCGGUGGAUAGAGAUGGGCACGCGCAAGAUUAGAUAGUUGGUGAGGUAACGGCUCACCAAGUCAAUGAUCUUUAGGGGGCCUGAGAGGGUGAUCCCCCACACUGGUACUGAGACACGGACCCGACUCCUACGGGAGGCAGCAGUGAGGAAUAUUGGACAAUGGGUUAGCGCCUGAUCCAGCCAUCCCGCGUGAAGGACGACGGCCCUAUGGGUUGUAAACUUCUUUUGUAUAGGGAUAAACCUACUCUCGUGAGAGUAGCUGAAGGUACUAUACGAAUAAGCACCGGCUAACUCCGUG
rnacentral:rRNA from 1 species